rnacentral:rRNA from 1 species
GUACACGCUGUGACUAGCAUAUCAAUAAGCGGAGGAAAAGAAACUAACAAGGAUUCCCCUAGUAACGGCGAGUGAAGCGGGAAGAGCUCAAAUUUGAAAUCUUAAAGGGUUUCCCUUUACGAAUUGUAGUUUAAAGAAGUGUUUUCUGUUGAGGUUUUGGUAAAGGUUCUUUGGAAUAGGACAUCAUAGAGGGUGAGAAUCCCGUAUUUGACCUUUACUUUCAACUUUGUGAUACACUUUCAAAGAGUCGGAUUGUUUGGGAAUGCAGUCCAAAAUGGGUGGUAAAUUUCAUCUAAAGCUAAAUAUUGGCAAGAGACCGAUAGCGAACAAGUACCGUGAGGGAAAGAUGAAAAGAACUUUGAAAAGAGAGUUAAACAGUACGUGAAAUUGUCAAAAGGGAAGCGUUUGACACCAGUGUUGUUUUUCUGAAAAUCGAUUAAAGAACUGUUUAUGCUAAGUUGUUUAGACUUUAUCAGCUAUCUGUUUAGUUUUGAGCUUUUCUUUAAUGCACUUUUCAGUUAACAAGUCAACAUCAAUUUCUUUUGCUGUAAAAAAGCUUGAGGAAGGUGGCUUGAGAUUCGUCUUAAGUGUUUAUAGCCUCUUGCCUAUGCAGUCGGAGAGAUUGAGGUCUGCAGCGUAGAUCCUUCGGGGCUAAAUGCAUUUGUGCUAAGUUAUAGCAUUUUAUAGACAACUUGUUGACUAUGAUUUGUCUUGUAGCUUACUCGCUUAUGUUAUUUUACCUACGCUUAGGAUGUUGAAGAUGUAGCACAUCAU